rnacentral:rRNA from 1 species
UACGUAGGGUGCGAGCGUUAAUCGGAAUUACUGGGCGUAAAGGGUGCGUAGGCUGAAAUACAAGUUAGAUGUGAAAUACCCGAGCUUAACUUGGGAGGUGCAUAUAAUACUGUAUAUCUAGAGUUAGUGAGAGGAUGGGGGAAUUCCGAGUGUAGCAGUGAAAUGCGCAGAGAUUCGGAGGAACAUCGGUGGCGAAGGCGCCCAUCUGGCAUAUAACUGACGCUGAGGCACGAAAGCGUGGGUAGCAAACAGG